CCUGGUGAUUAUGCCGAAAGAGGUCACACCUGAUCCCAUUCCGAACUCAGAAGUUAAGCUUUUUUGGGCUGAUGGUACUGCUGGCUUUGCCUGUGGGAGAGUAAGUAGUCGCCGGGA
rnacentral:rRNA from 1 species